rnacentral:rRNA from 1 species
UAACGUCCGUCGUGAAGAGGGAAACAACCCAGACCGCCAGCUAAGGUCCCAAAGUCAUGGUUAAGUGGGAAACGAUGUGGGAAGGCCCAGACAGCCAGGAUGUUGGCUUAGAAGCAGCCAUCAUUUAAAGAAAGCGUAAUAGCUCACUGGUCGAGUCGGCCUGCGCGGAAGAUGUAACGGGGCUAAACCAUGCACCGAAGCUGCGGCAGCGACGCUUAUGCGUUGUUGGGUAGGGGAGCGUUCUGUAAGCCUGUGAAGGUGUGCUGUGAGGCAUGCUGGAGGUAUCAGAAGUGCGAAUGCUGACAUAAGUAACGAUAAAGCGGGUGAAAAGCCCGCUCGCCGGAAGACCAAGGGUUCCUGUCCAACGUUAAUCGGGGCAGGGUGAGUCGACCCCUAAGGCGAGGCCGAAAGGCGUAGUCGAUGGGAAACAGGUUAAUAUUCCUGUACUUGGUGUUACUGCGAAGGGGGGACGGAGAAGGCUAUGUUGGCCGGGCGACGGUUGUCCCGGUUUAAGCGUGUAGGCUGGUUUUCCAGGCAAAUCCGGAAAAUCAAGGCUGAGGCGUGAUGACGAGGCACUACGGUGCUGAAGCAACAAAUGCCCUGCUUCCAGGAAAAGCCUCUAAGCAUCAGGUAACAUC